rnacentral:rRNA from 1 species
UCCGAAGGGGGCUAGCGUUGCUCGGAAUCACUGGGCGUAAAGCGCACGUAGGCGGAUUGCUAAGUCAGGGGUGAAAUCCUGGAGCUCAACUCCAGAACUGCCUUUGAUACUGGCGAUCUUGAGUCCGGGAGAGGUGAGUGGAACUGCGAGUGUAGAGGUGAAAUUCGUAGAUAUUCGCAAGAACACCAGUGGCGAAGGCGGCUCACUGGCCCGGUACUGACGCUGAGGAGCGAAAGCGUGGGGAGCGAACAGG